rnacentral:lncRNA from 1 species
NNNNNNNNNNNNNNNNNNNNNNNNNNNNNNNNNNNNNNNNNNNNNNNNNNGAAUUCCCGGAAUUCCUGAUCCCAGAAUUCCCAGGAUUCCCUCCAUUCCCAAUCCCAUCAUUCCCACCCUGAUCCUGCCAUUCCCGAUCCCAGAAUUCCCAGAAUUCCCGGAAUUCCCGGCAUUCCUGGCAUUCCCAAUCCUGUCAUUCCCACCCCGAUCCCAGAAUUCCCAGAAUUCCCAGAAUUCCUGGCAUUCCUGGCAUUCCCAAUCCCGUCAUUCCCACCCCAAUCCCAGAAUUCCUGGAAUUCCUGGCAUUCCUGGCAUUCCCAAUCCCAGAAUUCCCGGAAUUCCCGGAAUUCCCGGCAUUCCUGGCAUUCCCAAUCCCAUCAUUCCCAACCCGAUCCCGGCCAUUCCCGAUCCCAGAAUUCCCGGCAUUCCCAGAAUUCCUGGCAUUCCCAAUCCCGUCAUUCCCACCCCAAUCCCAGAAUUCCUGGAAUUCCUGGAAUUUCUGGCAUUCCUGGCAUUCCCAAUCCCAGAAUUCCCAGAAUUCCCGAUCCCAGAAUUCCCGAUCCAGAUCCGGCCAUCCCCGAUCCCAAUCCCGGAAUUCCCGGAAUUCCCGAUCCCAGAAUUCUCUCCAUUCCCAGAAUUCCUGACCCCAAUCCCAUCAUUCCCACCCUGAUCCUGCCAUUCCCGAUCCCAGAAUUCCCGGAAUUCCCGGAAUUCCUGGAAUUCCUGGCAUUCCCAAUCCCAUCAUUCCCAUCCCAAUCCCAUCAUUCCCACCCCGAUCCCGGCCAUUCCCGAUCCCAGAAUUCCCGGAAUUCCUGGCAUUCCCGGCAUUCCCAAUCCCGUCAUUCCCAACCCGAUCCCAGAAUUCCCGGAAUUCCCAGAAUUCCCAGAAUUCCUGGCAUUCCUGGCAUUCCCAAUCCCAUCAUUCCCACCCCGAUCCCAGAAUUCCCAGAAUUCCCGGCAUUCCUGGCAUUCCCAAUCCCGUCAUUCCCACCCCAAUCCCGGAAUUCCUGGAAUUCCUGGAAUUCCUGGAAUUUCUGGCGUUCCUGGCAUUCCCAAUCCCAUCAUUCCCACCCCGAUCCCGUCAUUCCCACCCCGAUCCCGGCCGUUCCAGAUCCCAGAAUUCCCAGAAUUCCCGGAAUCCCGGUGUUUUCCAGGGGCGCUGCCGAGCCGGGACCUGGCUCAGAUCCGGAGCCGCCUCUUCCUCAACCUCGGCCUCGUC